rnacentral:lncRNA from 1 species
UUUCCUGGGAAGAACGAGUCGGGUCUGGGAAGGCAGCGCUCCUGAGCCUACGCGGUCCUCUUGGCUGUAGCUGGAACAGUCUCCUGCUUUAGGGCAACCUGCGCAGUUGAGAACAUCUGAGGCUUCGCCAUCACGCAGGGCCAGAAGGGAUCACACAUCCCGCGGAGCAGCAUUCUUUCUUCUCGCCUUGAAUGCUGGACGCGAUCUGCACUUGCUCCGGAGGGAGAUUCCAAGGCAACAGAUGCACAGCUUUAGAAGAGGGGAAAAUAGCAGAAAAAAAGUGAAGGAAAUGUAUUCACAGGGAACAGUGGGAAGAAAUCUCCAGUGGAAAUUGUACAUAAGGAAGAGGAAUCCAGUGGAUCAAUGUGGAAGAACCAAAGAUAAUGUCACAGUUGCAAAAGAGUGGAUUAACGGAUUGUCAGUGUUUCUUGGUGAGAAUUUUAAAGGGAACCUGAAAUAUAAGAUCUCUGUAAGUGAUACCUGAAAUACAUCUACUCAUGUUUUCAGGCAGUGCAUUGUAAAGAUUCAAAAACAGAAAAGCGCAGUCUCUAUAGCAGCAUUGAGAUAGAGUUCAUUAGUUGAAAUAAGACCCAAGAGGCGCAGGUGUCUGGGGCAGGGUUUAAGACCCCACUUGGGAUGCACACAUGCCCUGUCCUAGUACCUGGGUUCCGGUCCUGCCACUGCAUUCGAUUUCACGUUUCUAAUCGCACGCUGAGAGGCAGCAGGCGAACACCCAAGUCCUUGGGUCCCUGACACCCAACAUGGCAGACCCAGAUGCAGUUCCAGAUUCUGGAUUGCAAAGACCCAGAAGUGGCCCAAGAUCUGUGUCUAACAAGGCCGUCCAAUGUGUGCAGAGGGAAAGGCGGGCAGGGGGCAGGUAAGCGAAGGUCCCCAGUGUGAGGGGAGGAGCUGUGUCCUGCCCUGAACAGGACAGAGCCUGGCAUGGGUUUGAAAAACAGCCACACUGGGAGUCCACACUUUGUGUGCAGCAGGGCAUCAAGAAAAUCCACACCAGGGAGCAGACGGGGGCAACAAGCCUGCCACCCCAUCCCUGCCUGCUUCUUGUGCCCCAGCCCUGCCCUCAAGGAGAAGGACAGUUUCACCUGGAUGGGGAGGACCCAGGUCUAUACCUGGCCAUGACCACUGUAGUUCACCCCAAAGGAAAGACUUCCCCAAAGAGCUCACACAUACUGUCUGCACCUCUGCCCUGCACACAGCUUACAGCCUUAUCCAUCAGGAUCACCAUGACCCACUUGUCCCUCCUGGAGCUGAUCUUGAGAUUUCUCUGGAGUCACUUUUCCCUGUAACUUCCCCGAGGCCUCCAAGAAGGGCCUGACCCCCUGCAUAAGCUAGAGCACAGUGCAGCACCAAUUCUGCCCAGGGAAGAGGCAGAAGAGCUAGAGGGCUGUGAUCCAUCUUGGCAGAGCAUCCAUGCUACCUUCAGAUGUGUGUGACAGAAAUGAUCAUGACCUAAGAACAAACUC